AACGAACGCUGGCGGCAUGCCUAACACAUGCAAGUCGAACGAGACCUUCGGGUCUAGUGGCGCACGGGUGCGUAACGCGUGGGAACCUGCCUUUAGGUUCGGAAUAACUCAGAGAAAUUUGAGCUAAUACCGGAUGAUGUCUUCGGACCAAAGAUUUAUCGCCUUUAGAUGGGCCCGCGUUAGAUUAGCUAGUUGGUGGGGUAAAGGCCUACCAAGGCGACGAUCCAUAGCUGGUCUGAGAGGAUGAUCAGCCACACUGGGACUGAGACCCGGCCCAGACUCCGACGGGAGGCAGCAGUGGGGAAUAUUGGACAAUGGGCGAAAGCCUGAUCAAGCAAUGCCGCGUGAGUGAGGAAGGCCUUAGGGUUGUAAAGCUCUUUUAGCCGAGAUGAUAAUGACAGUAGCGGGAGAAUAAGCUCCGGCUAACUCCGUG
rnacentral:rRNA from 1 species